GGCAGGGCCAGUUCGCCUGCUUUCCUGCCCGCAGGGUCCACUCUCCCACACCUGGAUCAUCAGGGCCAGCUCUACUGUGUGGCCUAGGGCCAUCUCUCCCGCCACAGGCAAGAGGGAGUGACACCCCCGCCCCGCGGGCACCAUAUGGCAGAUGAGGGAUGGGGCCAGAUCUCCCACACUCACAUUCUUGGGGCUGAUUCAUCCAUACCCCCAUCGAUAAGUCAGCUCUGCUGAGCUGCCACGAUCCUGAGCGCUGCAGCUGGUCUUUAAAUUUUGUUUUGUUUUUGUCAACUUGACACAAGCUGGAGUCAUCUAAGAGACCCUCAGUUGAGAAAAUGGUCCCAUCAGACUGCCCUGUAGGAAGGGCCCAGCUCACUGUGAGCGGUACCAGACUUGGACAAGUGGUCCUGGGGUGUGUAAGAAAGCAAACUGAGCAAGCCUGGCGUGCAAGCCAUUAAGCAGCCCUCCUUCAUGGUCUCUGCUUCAGUUCCUGCCUCUAGAUUCCUGCCUUGAGUUCCUUACCUGACUUCCUUCAUGAUGGACUAUGAGCUGUUUGAUCAAUGGUUUUUGAUUGUUUGUUUUUGUUUUGUUUUAUCACAGAAGUAGAAAGCUAAAUCACUAUCUAGGACUUCCUACCUCCAGAAUUGUGAAAAAUGAAUGUUUAAUCUUUUAAUGUAACAUCAAUGGAGACAUUAGAGGUUAAAUGUUGUAAAUCUAUGUUAUCACAUUUUAGUACACAUAUGCAACAUAAAUAAAUGUUUAAAAAGUAGUAACUGGGCUGGAGAGAUGGUUUAAUGGUUAAAAGCACUUAUUGCUCUUGCAGAGGACCCAGAUAUGAUUCCGAGCUCCCACAUGGUAGUUCAGAAACAUCUGUGACUCCAGUUCCAGGGAAUAUGAUGCCCUCUUCUGACUUCCACAG
rnacentral:lncRNA from 1 species